AUUUCUAAAUAUUAAUAAAUAAUUAUAAUAAUAAUAUCAUAAGAUAUCUUUCUCUUUCUAAUAGAUAGAAAUA